GUGGGGAAUAUUGGACAAUGGGCGCAAGCCUGAUCCAGCCAUGCCGCGUGUGUGAAGAAGGCCUUUUGGUUGUAAAGCACUUUAAGCGAGGAGGAGGCUCCUUUAGUUAAUACCUAAAGAGAGUGGACGUUACUCGCAGAAUAAGCACCGGCUAACUCUGUGCCAGCAGCCGCGGUAAUACAGAGGGUGCGAGCGUUAAUCGGAUUUACUGGGCGUAAAGCGUGCGUAGGCGGCUUUUUAAGUCGGAUGUGAAAUCCCUGAGCUUAACUUAGGAAUUGCAUUCGAUACUGGAAAGCUAGAGUAUGGGAGAGGAUGGUAGAAUUCCAGGUGUAGCGGUGAAAUGCGUAGAGAUCUGGAGGAAUACCGAUGGCGAAGGCAGCCAUCUGGCCUAAUACUGACGCUGAGGUACGAAAGCAUGGGGAGCAAACAGGAUUAGAUACCCUGGUAGUCC
rnacentral:rRNA from 1 species